rnacentral:tRNA from 1 species
CAUAAAGUAGUUUAAUGUAAAACGUGAAAUUGCAAAUUUUAAGAUGCUCAAGAAAUUGGCCUUUGUGU